rnacentral:rRNA from 1 species
GACGGAGGAUGCAAGCGUUAUCCGGAAUGAUUGGGCGUAAAGCGUCCGCAGGUGGCAGUUCAAGUCUGCUGUCAAAGACCGGGGCUUAACUUCGGAAAGGCAGUGGAAACUGAACAGCUAGAGUAUGGUAGGGGCAGAGGGAAUUCCUGGUGUAGUGGUGAAAUGCGUAGAGAUCAGGAAGAACACCCGUGGCGAAGGCGGCUCUCUGGGACGGUACUGACGCUGAGACGCGAAAGCGUGGGGAGCGAACAGG